CGCAAUCACGCCAAGUCUCGAACUCUGCCACAAACACAUUCUUGUCCACCGAAUAGAACACCGGACCUCGGGUUUCCCAUGCCAGUCGCAAAGCAUUGGCAAUCGUCGGUGUAUGCAACAAAUUCCAGUACAAGUCCUUGCCUGCGAGAACCCAUACCUGCUUUGAUCCAUCAUCAAGCACUAAUGGUGUCGCCUCCUCUUUGGUGAGAUCGAGUUUACCCAUGACUUUCUUCAUGUGCGCCCUCGCUGCCCUGGGCGAGAGAGCCUCCUUGCCCCUCGAUGAAUCUGAACAACAAACAAUUGCGAUGGAAACAUCAACGAACACUAUAAACUGAAUAAACCAAGAAAGUCGGUUAAUUCAGUUCGGUUCGUUAUUUUAUCAUUGAUGAGGGAGCCAACAAAUAAUUCAGAAAUCAAAUGCAAUCGUAAUAGACCAUAGGGACUCAACUCAUCACGAAAGAACAACGCUAUAAAGCGUGCGUCGCUCUCUAGCUUGUAUCCAAAUGUUCUGCUCCAAUGCAAGAUUCUAAAUUCAGAAGGAUCGAUGUUGGCCCAAUUCUAAUUCACCGAUUAACCCAUCAAAACAUACCAAGCGGUGGAAAACCAAAUCCAGUCAAAACUCAAAAGUCAAAACACCCACCCCGGUCCCCGAAAGUGCAAAAAAAAAAAAAAACACAAACCCCACCCCCAACACGAACCUGCUCCGUGCUCACACACGAAGAGCCGCUCCCGGCGGCCACCGCCGCAACCCCUUGCGAGCGCCGCCCCACCGCCGAGACCGCUCGCUCAUCCCCGCGCGACCUCCUCAGCCCCGCGCGUGCGCCGCCCCACCUCCACAUCGCCGAGCCGCGCGCGAAACCGUUGAUGCGCCGGCUCGAACUCGCUGUCCCCAUUUCUCCGGACGCCGGGGACGCAGAUGCCGCCGAAGCCAUCGUGUGCGCGUCGGGGACGCAGCAUCCGCUGCCUCCAUUCCUCUGCGUGGCCUUCGAUGCACAUCCUUAAUUUCUCCAGUAGGAACCACCAUGUAAAAAACUCAAACCCUUCGUUUUCUGUUGUUGCCGCCAUUGGAGGUGCUGUGCCACUAGGACGAUGAGGUAUACGAGGUAUGAGCUCGAGGCGCUCUCAGCGGGGCGCCGUCGUGGGGGGCGCAGGCGAUUCGGUGGGCCGAGGUGCACUCCGCGCUCCCCGCCGCCGGCUUCUCCGGGGAGUACUGGUGCUGCUCGCCACCGACACGCCGGUGAGUGGGAGUAAGGCUUCCCGCGGCGGGACGAAGGGCCCCGAAGCGGCAACGCCCCAGUUCCAAUUGAGUAAAUCCCAGCCGCGGAGCACCGACAUUUACGAGUUGAGAAUUUGUUGAUUUACGAGCCACAUUGCUUCAUAUAAACAUUAAUCCUUUUAUUUACACUUGCCUUCUGGAUUAUUUGUUUGCUCACUCGAUUUCUUCAUUCACUGUAGUUGAUGGCACUGGAACGAUGCUCAGGCUGAACUUGAAAAUAAGGAGGGCUCGGCUAUUUCCAUGUUUUUGUGCUGGCCAGCAAUGCCGCUUAAUUGUUCUUUUUUGACGCUUCUGUUUAAUUGUUCUUGGAUGGUGGAUGGUGAAAUCUUGUUUUGAUAAGUAGUUCUUGUGCUAAUUGAUUCUUCUAUUUAGUGUGAUAGCAUAUUUUGUUGCAAGUGUAAAAUCUGGGGAGAUGUGAGGAUGAUUUCUUGGCAGUGGUUGCUGUGAUAUUUGACAAGAAAUCUUGGAAGCCAAGAUGUAUCGGUUUUCUUUUCAGUGUAAAUGAAUGGUGUCAUACGAGAUUUUAAGCUGAAUAUCUGCUCGGAACUACUUAUCUGGACAUACAUUAUCUGCAUCCUUGGUCACUUUUAUAUAAAACCAUUGAUAUCUUACUCUGGAGAAUGAUUGAAGUUUGAGCUUUUAGCCAUCUAAAAGGCUGAAAGUGGCUCUGAAGCCUCAAAACUUAAUUCAUGUGAAUAUCUGCCAAGGGCGGCCGUACUGCCCGAGGAUUUAUAUACCUCAAUUUUUCAACCUGUUAGUCCUUUCACCUUGCUAUCUGAAAUGUGUGAUCUUGAUGCUAAUUCCAUGGAGAAGGAGAACUACAAAAAGUCAAUGUGAGACCCUAGCCUAAAAGGGAAAAUCGCUCUGUAGUCAUCUCUAGAACAAGGAGAACUACCAAAAUUUCAAGGGGGAGAGCCUGGCCUAAAAAGGUGAAAUCGCUCUGUAGUCAGCUCCGGAACAAGGUGAUUGUGGUGCUAUAUAUUUGGACAAAGAGAUUGUAUGCAUUCAUCUAUCUGAGCUUAUUUUUAGAGUAACUGGUAUGUUCUCAACAUCCCUUUGAACGCAGCAGUGACAAGACAAGACGGUCUAUCAACAGAAAGACAACCUCUCAUAACAUGGUGCAUAUUUUGUUAGCAAGGUAGUAUAUGUUGUUAAGUCAUGGAAGUUAUCAACUCUGAGUUGUCCAUUCUUAAAGGACCAUAACUGGUAUGCCAAAUGAUAACAUUACUCUUAAUGUGGUUGUGCAAGCGUUAUGCAUUUUACCAGUUACCUUCUCCCGUUUACUUUUUUCAAACCAAAAGGUUAUCUUAUCCUCUGAAUUUUUUGCACUUAAUUACUGAUUUGGAAUAAUAGAUAUAGUGUUGUACUGUACUGGAAUGCUCUUCUAUUAGCAUAACAGUCCAUGGUAAAAUGGCUAUGAGAAGUCGAUGUCUUUUGAGAUUUUUAGGAACACUCAUUUAAGUAGACCUUGCGGCCAUGGAGGGAACCCGAUGAUAAAGACAUGAAUUUGCUUGCAAUCUCGGUAUUAUGUAUGCAUACUUCCUGACUGCUUAUAGGAUAUUAACACAUUUUAUUAAGGGGGAUUUGCUACAAAAAGUGCUGGCAUUUUAUUAAGGGGGAUUUGCUACCUAUGUUUCAUGAUCUGUUCUCUGGACAGCUUCAAUUAUUUCACUUGAAUUUUGGAACUAUCACACUGCUUCCUAAGAAAACGGAUGCUGUAAGAAUUGAGCAGUUCAGGCCGAUCAGCCUUCUCAAUGUUAGUUUCAAAAUCUUUACCAAGGUCGGGACUAAUAGGCUCACACAGAUUGCGCAUUCUGUGGUGCAACAAUCCCAAACUGCUUUCAUGCCAGACAGAAACAUCCUUGAAGGGGUGGUCGUCCUUCAUGAAAAGCUCCAUGAAAUCCAUUCCAAAAAAUUAGAUGGAGUAAUUUUUAAGGUGGAUUUCGAGAAAGCGUACGAUAAGGUCAAAUGGCCAUUCCUCCAACAGGCAUUGCGUAUGAAAGGUUUUGAUGAAGCCUGGCGCUGCCAGGUUGAAUCAUUUACGCAAAAAGGGAGUGUGGGAAUUAAAGUGAAUGACGAUAUUGGUCAUUACUUCCAGGCACAUAAAGGCCUAAGACAAGGAGAUCUGAUGUCCCCUAUCCUGUUUAACAUUGUGGUUGAUAUGUUAGCAAUUUUGAUAGGAAGGGCUAAGGAGAAUGGUCAAGUAGGUGGCUUGGUACCUCAUCUUGUUGAUGGAGGUGUAUCCAUCCUUCAGUACACUGAUGAUACAAUCAUCUUUAUGGAGCAUGACUUGGCCAAGGCGAGAAAUAUGAAGCUGGUGUUAUGCCUUUUCGAACAAUUGACAGGGUUAAAGAUUAAAUUUCAUAAGAGCGAGUUGUUCUGCUUUGGUAGAGCCAAAGACGAACAAGAGGCUUAUAGGCAA